AGAUCGUCCCGAGCGCGCCGCGGUCCAGGCGGGCACAGCGCAGGGUCAAGUUCACGUCCGGCCCGCGGGCUGCCCGAGGUCCCCGGGCGCGGCUGGGGCAGCGGGAGGCGCGGGAGGCCGAGGUCCGGGUGGCCGCCGCGGCCGCCCCCGAAGCGCUGCUGUCACCCCGGCCGCGCCCCCCAACUUUCUGCACAGUCGCGGAGCUGGAAGUUUCCGGGCUUCGCGGACACGCUGGGCUGGGUUUCAGUCGCGGCUCCGAGGUUGGCAACAAAGAGGGAAAGAAGGAGGAAAAGCAGGCCGGGGAGGGGAGGAAGAGAACCGCGCGGAGGCCGCGGCGCCGAGAGCCCCAGAACUUCCAAUUCUACCCAGAAGCUUUUUUCGUCGUGUUUUUCUCUUAGACAUGAUCCUCUCUGAGGUUGGUCCUGGGCUUCCAUACGUGAUUCAUGGAAGAGGUCUCAGCCCCAAGAGCCCCUGAGGGUACUGUCCACUCCCCCUGGAAACUUCCAGAACCUGACGUGGGGCUGAAGACAUAGAGGCUCUGAGAGUUACAUAAUUGAUUCUGACUUUGGCUGUUGGUCAACAGUGUCAUAAGGUAAAAUAAGGCUGUUGUAGAAUCUGCUCAGCCAGGGAGGGGAAAGGAGUCGGCAAUCAGGUCUCCUCCUGGGCACCUUUGUGAGGCCAGCUGGCGAGAGUGGGGGGUGACACUGAGGUCCCAGCAGCUCCAAAUGCAGGCAGAGCCCUGUCCUCAGAGAAGGUCACAGCCUAGCCAAGCCCAGCCAGGUGGAUGGGCCCACGGAACGCACAGGAACCUGGAACGGAGGUUGAAAGCAGGAAGCACAGUCUGUGACUCCCCAGCCCACUCUGCAUUCGACCACUUGGGGCCCAGAAGCUUCAGGAAAGGUGCACAAGGUCACUGGGUCCCAGUACUCCCAACAGGAAGGUCUGGUCCAGGGACAGGGCUCUUCCCGACUCCCCUUAGCCACACGCACCAGAAGUUCUGCAGUGCCCAGUGGGCAUAGCAGUCCCCAAGAAUGACCCAGCACUGAAGCUGAGCCAAAGAACUUGGGGAGCGAGCCACACCCCCUCACUCCCUCUUCGCCUGCUCCAGACUUGCCAGGCGGUUGCUUUUCGUGGGAACCGGGAUGUCCUCACCACCCUGUCCAGGGCCCAGCCCCAUGUCCCUGGCCUGCUACAGCUGGAAAAAAAAAAGAGAGAUGUUUGUUUUUAUUUGUUUAUAAAAAGAAAAGUGUUAUAUAUAUAACAUAUUAUACCUCAUGAAUACAUACAAUUAUUUGUCAAUUAACAAUAAAGAAAAAUACAGCAAGCAAAAAAGACUCUCUUCCACAAAAAUAGUGUUCAUUACAGAAAAGUACAAAAAAAAAAAAAAAAAACUAAGAGGAUAUUUAGAAUUAAGAAAAAACUAAGAGGGUAUUUAGAAUUAAAAAAUAAAAAGAAAACAAUUACCCAUGAGGUAAUUACUGAAUGCAUUUGGUUGAAAGUCCUUCUGCUAUAUUUUCCAAACUGUAUGUGUAUAUAUGUGCGCAUGCAUAUAUGUGUUUGUGUGUGUGUACACAUAUCUAUAUGAAUGGACCAUAUCGUAAGUUAUAAAUGCAUACAUAUAUUCAUGUAUAUAUAAUCAUUAGAUCAUACUAUAGGUUAUUUUACAGUCUUUUUGUUGAAUACGUUGUGAGCAUUUUAUGUCAUUAUUUUCUACAAGAUUUGAAAAAUAAAGUAUAAAUACCAGUUAAUUUUUGAAAUCAACCUUAUUAAGGAAUAAGUUCCAUGCAGCAAAAUCCCUUUCACCUCUACUGUUCGAUGAGUUUUGACAAUGUAUGCAACCGUGACAUGUAUCACCACGAUCAAGAAAGAAAACAUCACCACAAAAUGUUCCCUAGAGCCCCUUGCAGGCAGUCUCUGACUUCCUGGCAGCCAGCAAUCUGAAUCCAACCACCGUAGAUCAGUUUCAAUUUAUUAAAAAAAAAUUUUAACUCAUGGAGUAUGAACUCUUGCUCGGGAUCCUGCUAUCUAUGUUGUUGAGUUUAUCAAUAGCCCAUUCCUUUUUACUGCUACGUGAUAUUUUAUCAUAUGCCUAUUGACAUUUGUUUACCCACUCACAUACUGAUGGACAAUUGAAUUGUUUGUGUUGUCUGUUUGUUUGUUUUUUGAGACAGGGUCUCACUGUCACCCAGGCUGGAGUGCAGUGGUGCAAUCUCGGCUCACUGCAACCUCUGCCUCCCAGGCUCAAGUGAUCCACCUCGGCCUCCCAAAGUGCUGAAAUUACAGGCGUGAGCCACUGUGCCUGGCCUGUUUCUGAUUUUUUAAAAUGUUUGCUAUUGUGACUAGAACUUUGUGAAUGCCAAUUAAUUUUUACAGUGUUUUAAUGAGCAAUGUCACCCGCACGUGCUGUGAAUGCCCACGCAUGUGGGCACAGCCUGUGUGUUUCCUUCCUGGAGCACUUGAGAUGGGGAAACCAAGAGAUGGGGGGUGAAGAAAGGAGCCAGAGGCCACACAGCUGGUUAGGAACAGGCUAGGGGAACCCAGCCUCUAAAUCCCAGUAUUCCAGGACAACAUGCUGCCAUACUCUCACAACACUUGCCUGUAUCAGAAAUGCUUGUAAUUUUCCCACACAGAGAAAUUUCCAUGAAAAUCAAGUUGUGGGCUGAGAGAUGAAAGGCAGCCUCAUGUUAAUUAGGCAGGCUUUGGUUUGGUCCGUCCACCAAGCUCAGGGGUGUGUGUGAAUAUCUCUAUUUUCAUACACACAUGCACACACGCACACACACACACACACACACACACGGACACGUCGCUCACACCCACCAACGCCAGUGGCGAUGAUCCAGUCCAGAUCUUUUCUAUACUGCCUUCAGAGCACGUGGCCAGACUGGCUUCUGACUUUACAGUCGUGGCACAUGCUGGCCCUGGACAGGAGGCCCUGGCUUGGCUUCUGAGCAUCCAUUCAGCAGACUUGUCUUAAAGGAUGUCUGAUUAUUUCCGCAAAUCAAAUCUCCCCUCAAGGACAAAGUUCAGGCUGCUGGGGAGAUUCAAAGGGAUGAUCUGUCUGCAAGACGGCUGCUUCCAAAAAGGUGUCACGGCGGCCUGGGAGUGGCUGUGCCCAACAGAAGGCAGGGGAAGAGGAGGUGCUCCUUGGAGUAUGGGCACCCUGGGUGUCUGUAGAGGAUUCUUGGGCCACUCUACCGUAGCUCAGCAUUGAAACAGAGACAAUGUUUGAUUUUGCUCACUUAUUAAUUAGCUCCUAGUUAUGUGUCCAAUGGGGCUAUUUCCAUGAUCUUAUUGAAUCCUAAAUAACUAUUAUCCUGCUUUUACAGAUGAGAAACGUGAGGCCCAGAGAGGUUAAGAAACUUGCCCAAGGACACACAGCAGUGGGUACUCAGUCCAAGAAUGCCCAUUCUUUGCAGACACAGGCUUCUCAUCUGAGUUAGAGGUCUCUGCCCAUUUGUGGCUAGCAGGCUCCAAAGAACACACGUUCACUUGGAGCUAGCUCGGGUAGAACCCUAAACAAUUCUAGUGUGCUUGGAGGACACAAAUGGUGCAGACCCCCACUUCCUGUUCAGGUCUCUGAGGGGCCCUCCCUCCUCAGACCACACCCCACUGCUGAGCAGACCUCUAGCACUUGUCCUGGCCCCCAUUCAAAAAGGCAAAUGUCAGCUGGGCGCGGUGGCUCAUGCCUGUAAUCCCAGCACUUUGGGAGGCCGAGGCAGGCGGAUCACGAGGUCAGGAGAUCGAGACCAUCCUGGCUAACAUGGUGAAACCCGUCUCUACUAAAAAUACAAAAAAAAAAAAAAAAAAAAAUUAGCCGGGCUUGGUGGCGGGUGCCUGUAGUCCCAGGUACUCCGGAGGCUUAGGCAGGAGAAUGGCGUGAACCCGGGAGGCGGAGCUUGCAGUGAACUGAGAUCGCGCCACUGCACUCCAGCCUGGGCGACAGAGCGAGACUCUCAAAAAAAAAAAAAAAAAAAAAAAAAGAAGGCGAGUGUCCGGUCCCUGAGUUGAGCAAAGAAGAAUCACCUCCUCUCAGCCCUCGGUCCACAGUCUCCAUGGUCUUGAAGUCAGCGGGCCUAAGGAGGCCUCUGUCCACGGGAGAUGAAACCAGGAAAGGAAGGGCCCAUUCUCUCAGAAAACAUGUGUUUUCUGUUUACAGAGGGACCUGUCCAGUUCCCAUGCUUUGUUCUUUAAUAUGGAGCCAAAAAAAAAAAAAAAAAAUCAAAUGCGCAGCUUCCGCUCUGAGGUACACUUGAAGGCUAGAAAGUCCGGAUUGCUGCGGGCUCAUUGUGCUGGGGUGUCCUAUCUGCUGCUGACGUCCAGCAUAUACCAACCUGGAAAGCCAAGGAAAAAGCCAGACUGCCCCCUCCGCAUUACAAGGGAGGACGGGGUACAGAGGGGAGAGGCAGCCUCGGCACCCUGGGGGCUGGCUUGACACUGUGUGAGCACACUGGGGGUGUUCUGUUGUGCACUUGUAGCCCUGGCACCACAGGCCCAGCAGGCUUGGCGCCACACACCGGCCAUUCAGAUCCUGGGCAGAGGGCAUCCUUUCCCACCCCAAGCAAAGGGAGGCAGAGUAUUGGGAGAUCUGGGGUAACCAGUGGGUGGGAAUCUCCAGGCAACCUGGGUCAAGCUGAGGGAUGCUGAGCACCUUCAGAGUUGGGAGAGGGGCUUAGCUCUGGGUAAGCGGGUCUUCCAACUCGAGGAGGCAGCAGUGAGCUAAGGUAAUCAACAGAGCUGCCAGCCAGCUACACCUACUGAAGGGAAACUAUUAUCACAGGAUGCCGGCUCAGCACACAGGCUAACAGCUGAGAUUCAGUAUCAAGGAUCUGGGUCCAAAUCUAGGCUGUGUCCCUUUGCCCUCCAGGGCCUCUGGCAAGCUGCUUCUCUGACCUCGGCCCCUCAUCUGUGAAAAGGGGUGGCAUGCACGUUUAUACAGCUGCCAGGAGUACUGAGAUAACACAUUUACGUCUAAGUCCAGGAUGGCCUGGCACAUGCUUUUCAAUACACGGCAGCUGCCGUUGACAUCUCGGGGCUUUAGACUUCACCGAAGGGGCACUCUGGCUAGAAACAGCUCACCAGCUUAGGCUGUCACAGCCAGCGGAGAGGGGGUCCUACAAUCCCUCCCACCCAGGGCAGACCCCGACUAAGACGGGAGGAUGCCUCGCUGGGCCACACCUUCCUCCCUGUGCAGAAGGGGUGACAUCAGUAACCGUGGUUGACAACGGAGCCUAGGGUUCUGAUGUCACUUCUGCCCGGGUGGUGCGUCCAGCUUAGGCUGAGACGAGGGGUGGCCCUCGACCCAGUGCACAGGGUCAGCCCUGGCUCCGCGCCUCCGACCUCUCGGGGGCUGCAGCAGGGCCUGGCACGCGUGUCCCCGGGGCCGGGCCGCUGGCCCCUUUCAUCUCCGCCUCCCGGCUGUCCGGCCUCUACGUCCCGCGCACCUGGGGCCAGACGGGGACAGCAAAAAACCAUCGCAGGAAGCGCGCACGACCUCGUUUGGGACCAGCCCGCCUCCCGGGCGGAAGCCGCGGCGCCUUGGACUGGACGGUCCCGCCCGCUCUUCCGUCCCGCCCCGGAAGUCAGGACGAGGGCGCGACGCGCGG
rnacentral:lncRNA from 1 species